AACAAAUAGAGGGUGACUCAAUACCUCAGACAAGAAGGGACAUGGAUGAAUCUGGAGAACAUUAUUCUCAGCAAACUGACACAAGAACAGAAAAUGAAAUACUGCAUAUUCUCACUCAUAGGUUCUGCACAUGUACCCCAAAACCUAAAAUGCAAUAAAAAAAUACUAUAACUUAAGAUGUGCCAGACAUUGUAACAUAUGCUUUAUACAUUGUGAUGGACAAAACAUGGCCAGAAAUUUGUCAACACUUCUGCCAUUGAGAGGUAUGAUGCUGUAAGACUCAUCCUAAGACAGAAAGUCCUUUGUGGUUUAAAAAAAAAAAAAAGAAAAAUCCUGCUCUUCUGUGGCUCGCACACAUUGAGUAAUCAAAUGAAGAACUGUAUGAAAUAAAUACAGUCGUUGACUUCUGCUAAAAAUGUUUUGAAGAGAGGAAGUGGGGCCUUUCUGCUCUUUGACAUACAAAGCACACUGCUUUCUAAUGGAUUCCACAGCAAAAGCAAAAUCCAAACAAAGCAGCAUCUUUUGUUCUAACCUACAUGCAAUGACCGGAGCCAGUGUUCCAUCCCAAGUAGACACUAGAUAUUUGUUAACUACUUCAGUGCUUCUGGAGGGACCGUUCAGGGCACUGCUGAAAGAGUGGGGAAAAUGGCUUUGGAAUCACAUGUGAGAAAGGAGGCUUGGUUCUUCAGACUGGAAUGAAAUAAAGUGGGAGGAUAAAGGAGGUUUGAAGAAUAUGAGGCGGAGGACACUAGGGAAGAAAUGUGGUGGAGAAUUCUGUGAUUCGUCUUUGGCGUUCAAUUUAUCAAGACUGUUGGUCAACCCCAAGGCAUCAAAAGUAAUACCAUCUCGAAAACCUUAGACUGCAUUGUCUACUACAAUUGUCAGUAGCCACAAUGUGGCAAUUUAAAUUUAAAUGAAUUAAAAUUAAAACAAAAAUUCAGUUGAGUCAUACUAGCCACAGCUCAAGUGCUCAGUAGCCAUAUGUGUCUUGUGACUGCUGUAUUGGACAGCACAGAUGUAGAACAUUUCCAUCAACUCAGAAAGUUCUGCUGAACAGCACUGCUCUUAGGGAUGAUAACAUCUCCAUUUCAUUUCAACCAUGGUUUAUUUAUUCUACAGAUACUAACUGAGCACCUAUUUUGUUCCUGUCACUGUACUGAGGAAUGGCUGAAAUGCUUCAAAGCAUAGACCCUGGAGCAACCUGGUUUAGCCGUUCACUCACGGUGUGACACUGGGCCAGGUCACCCAUUUUCCCUGUGCUCUAAUUUAAUCAGCUAUAAAAUGAAGAUAAUAAAAUUAUCCACCUCAUAGGGUUGCUGUGAAGAUUAAAUGUGUGUUUUUACAUGUAUGUUCACAUGUCUGUGUAUAUAAAUGUAUAUACGUGUAUAUGUGUAUGCAUAUCUUGCGUAAAUAUGUGCAUGCAUAUACAUAUAUAUUCAUACGUAUUUUAGAACGUUUCUGGCACAUAC